rnacentral:tRNA from 1 species
GCAUUGGGGUUCAAUGGUAGAAUUCUCACCUUCUGUGUGGGAGGCCAGGGUUUGAUUCCCAACCAGUGCA